CCAGUAUCAAGGCAGGGUGAUAAAUAACCUAUGAGGCUGAUCUUGGAUUUAAGCAACUGCUGAAUUGCUAGAGCCUAAGCAGGUCACUUGCUCCAAGUUUCUACACACAGAUAUGGAGGAAACCCGCAGUGCCCUUUCCUGAUGCAUGGACAGAAUUCAGAUACCUUGACACAGUGACCAGUUAGGAGUGAAAACUGGUUUCCAUCCUUCAGGAAAAGAUGCCUAAGUGGCAGGGGGGUUCCUAGCAUACUGUUCUACUCAAAAUGCAAAGUUUGAUGUCUGUUCAUAGUAAGAAAUAUGUACAGCUCUGAAUUGGAUAGCUGAAGGGGGAGGGAGUAAAGUAAAGACAA